CAGUCGCCGCGGUAAUACGUAGGGUGCGAGCGUUAAUCGGAAUUACUGGGCGUAAAGCGUGCGCAGGCGGUUCGUUAAGACAGAUGUGAAAUCCCCGGGCUUAACCUGGGAACUGCAUUUGUGACUGGCGAGCUAGAGUAUGGCAGAGGGGGGUAGAAUUCCGCGUGUAGCAGUAAAAUGCGUAGAUAUGCGGAGGAACACCGAUGGCGAAGGCAAUCCCCUGGACCUGUACUGACGCUCAUGCACGAAAGCGUGGGGAGCAAACAGGAUUAGAUACCCCCGUAGUCCCUGUCUCUUAUAC
rnacentral:rRNA from 1 species